CGAGGACAAACCCUGAGCUCAUAGAGUUUACAUUCCAACACAAGAGAAUAACUAGCAAACAAACAAGAGUGAAGAAACCAGUCCAUAGAAGGAUGUCUUGACAACUAAUGGAAGAGCCAAGAGGAGAUUCCAAAUUACUGAGAGGUCUUUCCCAACAUGUUUCUGGGUCUGAGAGCCAUGUUCUUGAAAAACACGUCUAUAUAAUAAAUAGGAAUGGACCUCACGUGACAAACAUUCCCAGAUGUGAACCAACCGCAGAAGUAGCUCACCUG